GAUGCGUUCCAUUAGUUAGUUGGCGGGGUAACGGCCCACCAAGACAACGAUGGAUAGGGGUUCUGAGAGGAAGGUCCCCCACAUUGGAACUGAGACACGGUCCAAACUCCUACGGGAGGCAGCAGUGAGGAAUAUUGGUCAAUGGACGAGAGUCUGAGCCAGCCAAGUAGCGUGAAGGAUGACUGCCCUAUGGGUUGUAAACUUCUUUUAUAUGGGAAUAAAAUGUUCCACGUGUGGGAUUUUGUAUGUACCAUAUGAAUAAGGAUCGGCUAACUCCGUGCCAGCAGCCGCGGUAAUACGGAGGAUCCGAGCGUUAUCCGGAUUUAUUGGGUUUAAAGGGAGCGUAGGUGGAUUGUUAAGUCAGUUGUGAAAGUUUGCGGCUCAACCGUAAAAUUGCAGUUGAAACUGGCAGUCUUGAGUACAGUAGAGGUGGGCGGAAUUCGUGGUGUAGCGGUGAAAUGCUUAGAUAUCACGAAGAACUCCGAUUGCGAAGGCAGCUCACUGGACUGCAACUGACACUGAGGCUCGAAAGUGUGGGUAUCAAACAGGAUUAGAUACCCUGGUAGUCCACACA
rnacentral:rRNA from 1 species